rnacentral:rRNA from 1 species
CCUACGGGUGGCAGCAGUGGGGAAUAUUGCACAAUGGGGGAAACCCUGAUGCAGCAACGCCGCGUGAGUGAAGAAGUAUUUCGGUAUGUAAAGCUCUAUCAGCAGGGAAGAAGAUGACGGUACCUGAGUAAGAAGCCCCGGCUAACUACGUGCCAGCAGCCGCGGUAAUACGUAGGGGGCAAGCGUUAUCCGGAUUUACUGGGUGUAAAGGGAGCGCAGACGGUGAGACAAGUCUGAAGGGAAAGCCCGGGGCUCAACCCCGGGACUGCUUUUGAAACUGCCUGACUUGAGUGCUGGAGAGGAAUGCGGAAUGCGUGGUGUAGCGGUGAACUGCGUAGAGAUUACGCAGAACACCAGGUGCGAAGGCGGCUUGCUGGCGAGCAACUGACGUUGAGGCUCGAAAGCGUGGGUAGAGAACAGGAUUAGAUACCCCAGUAGUC